rnacentral:rRNA from 1 species
AUUGAACGCUGGCGGCAUGCCUUACACAUGCAAGUCGAACGGCAGCACGGGUGCUUGCACCUGGUGGCGAGUGGCGAACGGGUGAGUAAUACAUCGGAACGUACCUUAUCGUGGGGGAUAACGCAGCGAAAGCUGUGCUAAUACCGCAUAAGCCCUGAGGGGGAAAGCGGGGGAUCGAAAGACCCCGCGCGAUUAGAGCGGCCGAUGCCUGAUUAGCUUGUUGGUGGGGUAAAAGCCCACCAAGGCGACGAUCAGUAGCUGGUCUGAGAGGACGAUCAGCCACACUGGGACUGAGACACGGCCCAGACUCCUACGGGAGGCAGCAGUGGGGAAUUUUGGACAAUGGGGGCAACCCUGAUCCAGCAAUGCCGCGUGAGUGAAGAAGGCCUUCGGGUUGUAAAGCUCUUUUGUCAGGGAAGAAACACCGGCUCUAACACAGUCCGGGAAUGACGGUACCUGGAGAAUAAGCACCGGCUAACUACGUGCCAGCCGCCGCCGUAA